rnacentral:rRNA from 1 species
CUGCGAGUGAAGAGGGAAGAGCUCAAAUUUGAAAUCUGGCGGUUGCUUGUAGCCGUCCGAGUUGUAGUUUAGAGAAGUGCUAUCCGCGCUGGCCUGUGCAUAAGUUUCUUGGAAAAGAACAUCAUAGAGGGUGACAAUCCCGUCUUUGGCACAGAUAACCAGGGCUUUUGUGAUGCGCUUUCGACGAGUCGAGUUGUUUGGGAAUGCAGCUCUAAAUGGGUGGUAAAUUCCAUCUAAAGCUAAAUAUUGGCGAGAGACCGAUAGCGAACAAGUACCGUGAGGGAAAGAUGAAAAGAACUUUGAAAAGAGAGUUAAACAGUACGUGAAAUUGUUGAAAGGGAAACGCUUGAAGUCAGUCGCGUCCUCUAGGGAUCAAGUCAGCUGCUUUGGCUGACUGUACUUUCUAGUUGGAUGGGUCAGCAUCAAUUUUGAUUGCUGGAUAAAGGCCUUGGGAAUGUAGCAUCUUCGGAUGUGUUAUAGACCAUGGUUCUGAUACAGUGGUUGGGAUUGAGGAACUCAGUGUUAGGAUGCUGGCAUAAUGGCUUUAAUCGACCCGUCUUGAAACACGGACCAAGGAGUCUAACAUGCCUGCGAGUAUUUGGGUGGAAAACCCAUAUGCGCAAUGAAAGUGAAAGUUGAGAUCUCUGUCAUGGAGAGCAUCGACGCCCGGACCUGACCUUUUGUGACGGAUCUGCGGUAGAGCAUGUAUGUUGGGACCCGAAAGAUGGUGAACUAUGCCUGAAUAGGGUGAAGCCAGAGGAAACUCUGGUGGAAGCUCGUANCGAU